GUAGUCGUAAAGGUCUCUUUGCAAAGUUACUGCCCUGUCUCUCAAGCUGCUUCCAGUGAAUGCUACACACCUUCACCGUGGUUUGUCUGAUAUCCUUAGCCAAGAUCAGGAUUGGCUAGGUUGGUACUUACAUAUCCACAUGAGAAUUCUGGUUCUGGAACUAGUUUGGUAAAGAAAUUAUUAAACCUGGUUGAUGUUUGAAGGUAGUUGGAUUAACAGGAAAGGAAAGAAGAAAUCUCUUCUAGCCAAGAUGAAAGAUACACAAGACAUUCAGGAAGCUCUGGAGGCAAAUGCAGAAUAAAGGCUAUGAACAGGAAGAUAAGAUGGAGAAACAAGAACAAAGAGAAGACAAACUUGGAACUCCACCAGUAUAUUCUUUAGUACAUUUUUCCCCAAAGAUGAUGGGUUCAGUUGCCACAACACCGCCAUUGUCAUCUUCAUUAUCCAGUGGAAUGCCUCUUGGUUAUCAUCUGUCUAGUCCUCAGAUUAGUGGAGUAACUAUAUCAACAACUGGACAAUUGACUUCUAAAGCUACUGCGGGUAGCUUUUCCCGAGUGGAAAACAGUUUGGGU